rnacentral:tRNA from 1 species
GUAGCUAUGUCAGAUGAAAUGAGUUAUGUUGAUGUCAUAAAAUAUACUUGAAAUAAGUUAGCUAUU